UACGUAGGGUGCGAGCGUUGUCCGGAAUUAUUGGGCGUAAAGAGCUCGUAGGCGGUGUGUUACGUCGGCCGUGAAAACCUGCAGCUUAACUGUGGGCGUGCGGGCGAUACGGGCAGACUUGAGUACUGCAGGGGAGACUGGAAUUCCUGGUGUAGCGGUGGAAUGCGCAGAUAUCAGGAGGAACACCGGUGGCGAAGGCGGGUCUCUGGGCCGAUACUGACGCUGAGGAGCGAAAGCGUGGGGAGCGAACAGG
rnacentral:rRNA from 1 species